UACGGAGGGUGCGAGCGUUGUCCGGAAUCACUGGGCGUAAAGGGCGCGUAGGCGGAUUGUACAGUCAGGCGUGAAAUUCCCGGGCUCAACCUGGGGGCUGCGCUUGAGACGUGCGAUCUUGAGUGGGGAAGAGGGUCGUGGAAUUCCCAGUGUAGAGGUGAAAUUCGUAGAUAUUGGGAAGAACACCGGUGGCGAAGGCGGCGACCUGGUCCUUGACUGACGCUGAGGCGCGAAAGCGUGGGGAGCAAACAGG
rnacentral:rRNA from 1 species